ACAGGGGGUAGAAGGUGAGUUGGUAAGGCAUAUGGCUACCAACCUGAAGGCUGUGGGUUUGAUUCCCGCCCUUUGCA